rnacentral:rRNA from 1 species
UCAAGUGACUAAGUGUAUGUGGUGGAUGCCUUGGCGAUCAUAGGCGAUGAAGGACGUGUAAGCCUGCGAAAAGCUGCGGGGAGUCGGCAAAAAGACUUUGAUCCGCAGAUGUCCGAAUGAGGAAACUCACCGGGUAACCGGUAUCACAAACUGAAUACAUAGGUUUGUGAGGCGAACGCAGUGAACUGAAACAUCUAAGUAACUGCAGGAAAAGAAAUCAACCGAGAUUGCGGCAGUAGCGGCGAGCGAAACCGCAGCAGCCUAGUUUUUGAUAAUGCAUGGUGACAGCAGAACGGUCUGGAAAGGCCGGCCACAGUGGGUGACAGCCCCGUAUGCGAAGUCCGGUGCAUGGUACUAAAAAGACGAUAAGUAGGGCGGGACACGUGACAUCCUGUCCGAAGAUGGGGGGACCAUCCUCCAAGGCUAAAUACUCAUGAUCGACCGAUAGCGAACCAGUACUGUGAAGGAAAGGCGAAAAGAACCCCGGGAGGGGAGUGAAAUAGAACCUGAAACCGCAUACAUACAAACAGUAGGAGCCCUACGGGGUGACUGCGUACCUUUUGCAUAAUGGGUCAGCGACUUACGUUUUGCGGCAAGCUUAACCGAGUAGGGGAGGCGCAGCGAAAGCGAGUUCGAACAGAGCGAUAGAGUCGUAAGGCGUAGACCCGAAACCAGAUGAGCUAACCAUGGCCAGGUUGAAGGUGUGGUAACACACACUGGAGGACCGAACCGACCGGUGUUGCAAAACCGGCGGAUGAGCUGUGGUUAGGGGUGAAAGGCUUAACAAAUCUGGAGAUAGCUGGUUCUCCCCGAAAACUAUUGAGGUAGUGCCUCGUGACUGACUCCGGGGGGUAGAGCACUGUUAUGGCUAGGGGGACAUGGCGUCUUACCAAACCAUGGCAAACUCCGAAUACCCGGAAGUUGAAUCACGGGAGACAGAGCACCGGGUGCUAACGUCCGGACUCAAAAGGGAAACAACCCAGACCGCCGUUUAAGGUCCCAAAUACAGGCUAAGUGGAAAACGAAGUGUGAAGGCUAAGACAGUCAGGAAGUUGGCUUAGAAGCAGCCAUCCUUCAAAGAAAGCGUAAUAGCUCACUGAUCGAGUCCUCAUGCGCGGAAGAUGUAACGGGGCUAAGUCUGUAACCGAAAGCGCGGAUUUGCACGCAAGUGCAAGUGGUAGGGGAGCGUUCUGUAAGCCUGCGAAGGUGUGUGGUAACGCAUGCCGGAGGUAUCAGAAGUGCGAAUGCUGACAUGAGUAACGAUAAAGCGGGUGAAAAGCCUGCUCGCCGUAAGCCCAAGGUUUCCUGCUCUACGUUCAUCGGAGCAGGGUGAGUCGGCCCCUAAGGCCAGGCUGAGAAGCGUAGCUGAUGGGAAGCAGAUUAAGAUUUCUGCACCGACGUUAAGUGCGAAGGGGGGACGGAGUUUUGAGCAUCAUCCGGGUGUUGGAUGUCCCGGUUUGUGCGUGUAGGAGGCCGGCAGGCAAAUCCGCCGGCGAAUCUCCGAGACAAAGCAUCGAGCUGCAUUUUGCAGUGAAGUGAUGGGAUGAACUUCCAGGAAAAGCCUCUAAGCUAUAGCUUAAUGUCGACCGUACCGUAAACCGACACAGGUGGGCGAGUUGAAUAUACUCAGGCGCUUGAGAGAACUCGGGAGAAGGAACUCGGCAAAUUGACACCGUAACUUCGGGAUAAGGUGUGCCUUUGUAGUGUGAAGAGUGAAACACUCCGAGCAUGAAGAGGUCACAGAGAAUAGGUGGCUGCAACUGUUUACUAAAAACACAGCACUCUGCAAAGACGAAAGUCGACGUAUAGGGUGUGAUGCCUGCCCGGUGCCGGAAGAUUAAGUGAUGGGGUGAGAGCUCCUGAUCGAAGUCCCGGUAAACGGCGGCCGUAACUAUAACGGUCCUAAGGUAGCGAAAUUCCUUGUC